UGGGGGGGGGUGCCUAUACAUGCAAGUCGAACGAACUCUGGUAUUGAUUGGUGCUUGCAUCAUGAUUUACAUUUGAGUGAGUGGCGAACUGGUGAGUAACACGUGGGAAACCUGCCCAGAAGCGGGGGAUAACACCUGGAAACAGAUGCUAAUACCGCAUAACAACUUGGACCGCAUGGUCCGAGUUUGAAAGAUGGCUUCGGCUAUCACUUUUGGAUGGUCCCGCGGCGUAUUAGCUAGAUGGUGGGGUAACGGCUCACCAUGGCAAUGAUACGUAGCCGACCUGAGAGGGUAAUCGGCCACAUUGGGACUGAGACACGGCCCAAACUCCUACGGGAGGCAGCAGUAGGGAAUCUUCCACAAUGGACGAAAGUCUGAUGGAGCAACGCCGCGUGAGUGAAGAAGGGUUUCGGCUCGUAAAACUCUGUUGUUAAAGAAGAACAUAUCUGAGAGUAACUGUUCAGGUAUUGACGGUAUUUAACCAGAAAGCCACGGCUAACUACGUGCCAGCAGCCGCGGUAAUACGUAGGUGGCAAGCGUUGUCCGGAUUUAUUGGGCGUAAAGCGAGCGCAGGCGGUUUUUUAAGUCUGAUGUGAAAGCCUUCGGCUCAACCGAAGAAGUGCAUCGGAAACUGGGAAACUUGAGUGCAGAAGAGGACAGUGGAACUCCAUGUGUAGCGGUGAAAUGCGUAGAUAUAUGGAAGAACACCAGUGGCGAAGGCGGCUGUCUGGUCUGUAACUGACGCUGAGGCUCGAAAGUAUGGGUAGCAAACAGGAUUAGAUACCCUGGUAGUCCAUACCGUAAACGAUGAAUGCUAAGUGUUGGAGGGUUUCCGCCCUUCAGUGCUGCAGCUAACGCAUUAAGCAUUCCGCCUGGGGAGUACGGCCGCAAGGCUGAAACUCAAAGGAAUUGACGGGGGCCCGCACAAGCGGUGGAGCAUGUGGUUUAAUUCGAAGCUACGCGAAGAACCUUACCAGGUCUUGACAUACUAUGCAAAUCUAAGAGAUUAGACGUUCCCUUCGGGGACAUGGAUACAGGUGGUGCAUGGUUGUCGUCAGCUCGUGUCGUGAGAUGUUGGGUUAAGUCCCGCAACGAGCGCAACCCUUAUUAUCAGUUGCCAGCAUUAAGUUGGGCACUCUGGUGAGACUGCCGGUGACAAACCGGAGGAAGGUGGGGAUGACGUCAAAUCAUCAUGCCCCUUAUGACCUGGGCUACACACGUGCUACAAUGGAUGGUACAACGAGUUGCGAACUCGCGAGAGUAAGCUAAUCUCUUAAAGCCAUUCUCAGUUCGGAUUGUAGGCUGCAACUCGCCUACAUGAAGUCGGAAUCGCUAGUAAUCGCGGAUCAGCAUGCCGCGGUGAAUACGUUCCCGGGCCUUGUACACACCGCCCGUCACACCAUGAGAGUUUGUAACACCCAAAGUCGGUGGGGUAACCUUUUAGGAACCAGCCGCCUAAGUUGGACCAAAAUUUG
rnacentral:rRNA from 1 species